UAAGAGCAGCAAAAAACUGGAACGGCCUUCCUCACGCCAUCUGUGCCAUCACUAACCCAUCUAUGUUUGCAGAAGCCAUUAAAAACACCGUUGUAUAGUUCUUUUUGUGUGUGUGUGAUACACCACCCCUUAUGUAUACCCCUACAGGGGGUCAUUAAGGAAAUAAAAGUGAAGUGAAGUGAAGUGAAGAGGGCAAAUGGUGCGU
rnacentral:lncRNA from 1 species